rnacentral:rRNA from 1 species
GACGUAGGGCGCGAGCGUUGUCCGGAUUUACUGGGCGUAAAGGGCGCGUAGGCGGUCAGCACAAGUCAGUUGUGAAAUCUCCGGGCUUAACUCGGAAAGGUCAACUGAUACUGUGCGACUAGAGUGCGGAAGGGGCAACUGGAAUUCUCGGUGUAGCGGUGAAAUGCGUAGAUAUCGAGAGGAACACCUGCGGCGAAGGCGGGUUGCUGGGCCGACACUGACGCUGAUGCGCGAAAGCCAGGGGAGCAAACAGG